rnacentral:lncRNA from 1 species
UGCCCUCUCUCUAUCUCUCGCUCGCUAUCUGUAAGCAAUCCCCCUCUCUUUAUUGCUUUUGUUAUUAUUGUUGUAGAUCUUGAUCUGGAUUCGGACGGGAUUAGUCUUGUUUUGGUUCUAUAGUUUGUCUUUUUUAAUUCUCUAGAUCUGACCCUUGUUAGAUUUGAUCUGUUUUUGGUAAGUUUUUCAAUGACCCUUUUGUUUGUUUUGUUUGCUGGUAUUGACAUUAAGAAGAUUAUGAAUCUAUAAAUUUGGCAAGAAGAUCCACCUUCUUCAACAGCAUUCCUGAUCGUUUCUUUUAGCUUCUUUGUUCUGCUCCUCAUUUCCUCUGCUUCUCUACAGCUUCACUUUUAACAUGAUCUUCAUGCACUGUAAGUCAUUCCUUAACUCCAACACCAACUCCAGUUUUUAAAACAUCGGUCAUCAUCUUUUCAUUAUGGAAUUGCUCAGCAAAACAUCGGUCACCAUCCUCAAUGAGUCACAAAUGCACCUAUUGCUUCAUGAUCAAGAAUCAAAACUUGGAGUGCCCAUCCUCUAAUAAUUAGGCCUUUGCCUUCCAUUCUUCCCUCAAAUCCUUCAGGUAAACAAUCUUCCUUGUCUUCUUGACCCUUUUUGCUUCUUCUAACUACCCAGAUAAAUUGAUGCCCAGAAGCUUCGAGACCUGCUGCAAUCUCCUUAAGCUGAGAGGCAGUGAAGUUCGCCAUGCUUCCAAAGCAAAUAUAAACAACUGAAUUUGGUUUCUUUGAGUCGAGUCACUUCAACUGAAUUUGCCAUGUUGAGCAAUUGAGGCUUCUUUUUCUCUUCC